UUUGAGUGGUUAGAUAACAAUAAAAACAAGCUGACUAACUUCAUUCAGUACGCUGCUCUACCGAGAGACGGAGCGUACGCUAAAGUGAGCGUCAUUAGCGUGGCGAAGGAUGACUGGGACAAAGGGAAACGAUUCACAUGCAAAGUGGGCAACGAGACACUCAACAUACCAGAGGACAAAAAACCAAGCGUCAAUCUGGUGAAAGUUUCUGAUGGUGAAUCCAUCAUGUGCGUCACUGAGGACUUCUUCCCAAAGGACUUCACCCUUAAGCUGAAAGAGGAUGGUCAGGAGGUUGCUGGUCUGAACUGGCCAGCCAUGCGCAGUACUUCAGGCUUGUAUACAGCCGGCAGCCUUCUUAAAGUCAAUAAGGCAUCAUGGAAGAACGCAAAGUACAGCUGUGAAGUAACCCAUCAGAACAACAUCUACACACAAUCUCGAUCUUUCACAGGUAAAUUCACUGUGGAAAUCAAACCACCUGGAGCAAAAGACCUGUUUAUACAUAACAAAGCAAAAAUAGAGUGUGUUAUCAGUGGAAGUAAUAAGGUGGAGGUGGAAGCAGCAAAAGUGUUGUGGACAGUUGGAGGCAACGAAGCUGAAAAGAGGAACAUCAUUGAUGGUGUGGUUGAACCUGAAGAAGAGCUGCAUAUGAAGACCAGCACGCUGACCAUUGAUGAGUCCGUCUGGUUUGCAGGCACAGCAGUGAAAUGCUCCACUACCAGAGACAAAGAUACAUUCUCUGACACCAUUAGCUUAACAGAAGGAGACGACAGCUGCUCUCUUCAGAUCUAUGUACCUAAGAAAGCUGUUCUCGACACUGAGAAAAUCUCUCUGGUGUGUGAGGUCAACAGCUCUCGUCUUGGGGAUGUUUACAUCAUGUGGCAAAAGGGCCAAAAUCCUAAUGAUCCUUUUGAAGAAGGCAGCAUCACAGCUCCCAUCUACAAAAACGGAUCUCCCAUGUCUGUUUUAAGCGUUUUUACAGUGACUGGAAAGGAGUACAACAGUGAAAUGGUCUUCACUUGUGCGGUCAAGCAUGCCAAUAUGAAGAAUCAUAGCACACCGUUAAAGACAACAGCAUCUAACAAUCUGUUUCAAAUAUUUAUAACUAUUUUAUUGUGUGUUUUAGGUGAGAUUCCAGAUUCAGGAUUGUAUGUACAAUGUGAUGAGGUGACUUCAGAGGAGGAUGAGUUCAACAGCUUGUGGUCCACUGCCUCCUCCUUCAUCUUCCUGUUCCUCUUCUCUCUCCUCUACAGCACUGUCCUCAGCCUCUCCAAGAUGAAAUAA